CCUACGGGAGGCAGCAGUAAGGAAUUUUGCACAAUGGGCGAAAGCCUGAUGCAGCAACGCCGCGUGAACGAUGAAGUUUUUAGGAAUGUAAAGUUCUGUCGUAUGGGAAGAGAUCUUUCGAAUGUUAAUACCAUUCGUUAAUGACGGUACCAUACAAGAAAGCACCGGCUAACUUCGUGCCAGCAGCCGCGGUAAUACGAGGGGUGCUAGCGUUGUCCGGAUUUACUGGGCGUAAAGGGUACGUAGGCGUUUUAAAAAGUUGAAUGUUAAAUAUCUUAGCUUAACUAAGAAAGUGCAUUCAAAACUGUUAAAAUAGAGUUUGAGAGAGGAACGCAGAAUUCAUGGUGGAGCGGUGACAUGCGUAGAUAUCAUGAGGAAAGUCAAAUGCGAAGGCAGCCUUCUGGCUCAAAACUGACGCUGAGGUACGAAAGCGUGGGGAGCGAACAGGAUUAGAUACCCUGGUAGUCCACGCCGUAAACGAUGAGUAUUUGGUGCUGGGGGAUUCGACCCUUUCAGUGCCGUAGCUAACGCGAUAAAUACUCCGCCUGGGGACUACGAUCGCAAGAUUGAAACUCAAAGGAAUUGACGGA
rnacentral:rRNA from 1 species